UGAGGAAUCUUCCACAAUGGGCGAAAGCCUGAUGGAGCAACGCCGCGUGCAGGAUGAAGGCCCUCGGGUCGUAAACUGCUUUUAUAAGUGAAGAAUAUGACGGUAACUUAUGAAUAAGCACCGGCUAACUACGUGCCAGCAGCCGCGGUCAUACGUAGGGUGCAAGCAUUAUCCGGAGUGACUGGGCGUAAAGAGUUGCGUAGGUGGACAAGUAAGCGAAUAGUGAAAUCCAACGGCUCAACCGUAUGGACUAUUACUCGAACUGCUUGUCUCGAGAAUGGUAGAGGUAACUGGAAUUUCUAGUGUAGGAGUGAAAUCCGUAGAUAUUAGAAGGAACACCAAUGGCGUAGGCAGGUUACUGGACCAUUUCUGACACUGAGGCACGAAAGCGUGGGGAGCGAACC
rnacentral:rRNA from 1 species